rnacentral:hammerhead_ribozyme from 1 species
AUCCAUCUGACGAGUCUUAAAAAGGACGAAACGUGUGUCCCGGAU